rnacentral:pre_miRNA from 1 species
AGGUCCUCAAUAAGUAUUUGUUGAAAGAAUAAAAGAACCAACAAGUCUUAUUUGAGCACCUGUUAUG